GACUAGGUGUGGCAUAGUGGUUUAAGUGCUGGACUAUGACUCUGGAGACCAUGGUUCAAUUCUGGGCUCAGCCA